AAGUUUGAGACGCUCCACUCAAAACCAGAGCUACUUCAAGUGUGGAGGUCUUCUCUCCGGAGCAGUCAGUCCACUGUUUCUGGCUUGUGAGGAAGGUGUGGACAGAAAUUGAGGGCAUGUUACUAGGUAGAAAGCUUUUGGCAGAGCCCCUGCUCCGGGAAGCACACAAUCUCUAGGAAACACAGCUACUGAACAAGCAAUUGAGUGUGAUAUGGAAGUACACACAUGCCAGGAGGGUCAAAAAAAAAUUACUAUGAAGAUGCAGUAGAAGAACAUUCCAGUUUCUUGUAAAGGGUGAAACCACAAGCAUAUUGGGUUAGUGCUCUGGGAGGAGAGAAGAACAAAGCUGGUGACAUGCAUGGAGCACCUGCAUUAGUCUGAUG